GCAUAUUUGUCAACUCCAAAGCUGGAUGAGUAGAUGUGCACUAGACACAUCACCGCCUGAUAUUUACUAUCCUACACCUACAGUGAUAAUUCACACUCAAAUAUGUCGGAACUAAACUACCCAAAUCCAAAUGAAGGAUUUAUUCAUUGGUUUCACAUUUUCAGGGGUAAUUUAGUCACUUUGACAUACGUGCUUAAGCAACUAUCAUUG
rnacentral:lncRNA from 1 species